ACGAAGGGUGCAAGCGUUACUCGGAAUUACUGGGCGUAAAGGGUGCGUAGGUGGUUUGUUAAGUCUGCUGUGAAAUCCCCGGGCUCAACCUGGGAAUGGCAGUGGAUACUGGCAAGCUGGAGUGCGGUAGAGGGUAGUGGAAUUCCCGGUGUAGCAGUGAAAUGCGUAGAUAUCGGGAGGAACAUCUGUGGCGAAGGCGACACCCUGGACCAGCACUGACACUGAGGCACGAAAGCGUGGGGAGCAAACAGGA
rnacentral:rRNA from 1 species